GAGUUUGAUCCUGGCCAGGAUGAACGCUAGCGGCAGGCCUAAUACAUGCAAGUCGAGGGGCAGCGGGUGUAGCAAUACAUGCCGGCGACCGGCGCACGGGUGCGUAACACGUAUGUAAUCUGCCCAUUACUAGGGGAUAGCCCGAAGAAAUUCGGAUUAAUACCCUAUAACAUAACGAAAAGGCAUCUUUUUGUUAUUAAAGCUCCGGCGGUAAUGGAUGAACAUGCGCGACAUUAGCUAGUUGGUGAGGUAACGGCUCACCAAGGCGACGAUGUCUAGGGGUACUGAGAGGUUUCACCCCCACACUGGUACUGAGACACGGACCAGACUCCUACGGGAGGCAGCAGUAAGGAAUAUUGGACAAUGGUCGCAAGACUGAUCCAGCCAUGCCGCGUGCAGGAUGAAGGCCCUAUGGGUUGUAAACUGCUUUUAUACGGGAAUAAACCCUCCGACGUGUCGGGGGCUGAAUGUACUGUAAGAAUAAGGGUCGGCUAACUUCGUGCCAGCAGCCGCGGUA
rnacentral:rRNA from 1 species